AUUGAACGCUGGCGGCAGGCCUAACACAUGCAAGUCGAGCGGAUGAAGGGAGCUUGCUCCUGGAUUCCGCGGCGGACGGGUGAGUAAUGCCUAGGAAUCUGCCUGGUAGUGGGGGAUAACGUCCGGAAACGGGCGCUAAUACCGCAUACGUCCAGAGGGAGCAAGUGGGGGAUCUUCGGACAUCAUGCUAUCAGAUGAGCCUAGGUCGGAUUAGCUAGUUGGUGGGGUAAAGGCCUACCAAGGCGACGAUCCGUAACUGGUCUGAGAGGAUGAUCAGUCACACUGGAACUGAGACACGGUCCAGACUCCUACGGGAGGCAGCAGUGGGGAAUAUUGGACAAUGGGCGAAAGCCUGAUCCAGCCAUGCCGCGUGUGUGAAGAAGGUCUUCGGAUUGUAAAGCACUUUAAGUUGGGAGGAAGGGCAGUAAGUUAAUACCUUGCUGUUUUGACGUUACCAACAGAAUAAGCACCGGCUAACUUCGUG
rnacentral:rRNA from 1 species